rnacentral:rRNA from 1 species
UGGGGAAUUUUUGACAAUGGGGGAAACCCUGAUCCAGCCAUCCCGCGUGUCCGAUGAAGGCCUUCGGGUUGUAAAGCACUUUUGGCAGGAAAGAAACGUCAUGGGUCAAUACCCCGUGAAACUGACGGUACCUGCAGAAUAAGCACCGGCUAACUACGUGCCAGCAGCCGCGGUAAUACGUAGGGUGCAAGCGUUAAUCGGAAUUUCUGGGCGUAAAGCGUGCGCAGGCGGUUCGCAAAGAAAGAUGUGAAAUCCCAGAGCUCAACUUUGGAACUGCAUUUUUAACUACCGGCGUAGAGUGUGUCAGAGGGAGGUGGAAUUCCGCGGGUAGCAGUGAAAUGCGUAGAUAUGCGGAGGAACACCGAUGGCGAAGGCAGCCUCCUGGGAUAACACUGACGCUAAGGAACGAAAGCGUGGGGAGCAAACAGG